CGGAGGAAGGUGGGGAUGACGUCAAGUCAUCAUGCCCCUUAUGUCCAGGGCUUCACACAUGCUACAAUGGCCGGUACAAAGGGCUGCGAUGCCGUGAGGUGGAGCGAAUCCCAAAAAGCCGGUCCCAGUUCGGAUUGAGGUCUGCAACUCGACCUCAUGAAGUCGGA
rnacentral:rRNA from 1 species